UUCUCUCCAACCCCAGAUCCUGCUGCAAAGGGACAUCCAAGGACCCUCACAGAGCAUGGCCCCAAGCAUUGCAAGGCCACAAAUCCUGCCCCUUGCCCCCUGCACUCAGUGCUGCAUUGGAUCCAGUGCAUCUGGGGUCCUCUGUGGCUAAAGGGGUAGGAUUUGUCCACAAAAAUAGGCAAAUCUCCAUUAGCAGUAUAAAGCUAUGACACAUCAUUUAACAGUUCUGAUUCCAUCCACUUGAGAGCUCUUGUCACUAUCUUCCCAGGGAUGCCAAGUCACUUAAUCAGAUACGACAAACUUGCUUGAUGCACUGAAUCAGAGGCCUGAUGGAAGUCUAUAUAAAGUACUGCUCAUGGCUUAUGAAAUGCAGCCAUCUUCUCAAAAAACUGUCUCAAGGAAUUACAAAAGCGGGUAAGCAAUGACUGCUCCUUAUACCCUGUUCAGAUGCUGUUGCUGAGACCAGGACUCAAUAGAUGACAAUGACCCACUGGACCACGAUCACCACUGGAACAGCUACCGCAGCAGAGAAUGGCGAUGAACGAUGAUGAAGAAUCAGCUUCAACCAUUGUAUCUGUCUCUUCACUGAUCUGUGGGUGACAUUGGAAGGUCAAAGGCCCCAGAGUGAGCUGGCAGCAAUCAGCCCUGAUGACUUGAAACACCAUUCCUCAUCAGAUGACGGAGGGAGUAAGAUUUCAGUCUCUAAAGCUUUGAUGGCCCUAAGGAGUUCAGAACAGAAAGCCAUUUGAUAGCUUGGUUGUAAGAAGAGCUUUUGGUUGAAUCAGACUAAUUUCAGCCCACUAACUUCUUUUUUUUCAAAGUAGGAGGCACAUUUUUGUAUCUGCGCGCCCAUACAUCAGUGACUGUUGAUCACCAGUGAUUGUUAACGAGGACAUGAUCAAUAACAGUCCUAGUGAAACCAACUGGGCUGUACCUGCUCUGUUUGUGAAUCUUGGGUGACGGAAGAAUGAAUCAGCAAUCACCAUGUUAUUGGCAGCUGCAAAUUCUAUCAGUUGUUGCCCAUUUCUGUUCUUCUGCUGGAUACCAAACUUCCUGAGAGUACUUGCACAGGUCGCUAUACUUUCCUACUUGUGCAUUAAAGUUGCCCAGGGUCAUGAUGACAUCUCUUCUCAGAGUUUCAUUAUGGAUUGAUUGCAGUUGUUGGUAAAAAAUAUCUGCAGCUACAUUAUAGGCCUUGGUUGAACCAUACAUGGCAAUGAUGGUAAGAUGUCCGCAGCUAUUAUGGAAUCGGAUGCUGAAAAGUCACUUCUUAAUCACCUCCAUUCCCUGCACUGCCUGUUGGGCAAUGAGUGAAAGUACAAUGGCCAUUCCUUGCUGGAAAACCUGUCGGGAUGGCCUGAGAACAAAAACGUAUAAUCCUCAACUUUCUUUUCACCACUCCUGGCCAGUGUAGUUUAGAUAAAAUACAGAUAUCAAUGUUCAGACUUUUCAAUUGCUUGAUUUAACUGUUUCAGAAUGUGUUUUGAUGUACCAGGCACCAAUUUUACAUUUACCACCAACAUGCAGGAUCCUGGAAUAGCCCUUUUGCAAGGUUUCUUUGGUCAUUUUUGCAUACAUGGCAGGUUGAUUCAGAACAAUUGACCAGAUUGUUGCAGGUGGUUGGCUUUGGUGUUAAACACUCUCAACAAACUGGGGUCUCUCAUAGUCAAAUUUUGUUUAAUUUACCUUUCAUUUGUUUUUAUUAGCAAAUUCUGUUAUUCCUCUAGUUUGGAAUAACUGAACUCCUGUAGAAAGCAACAUCCUUGUUAAUUUGCCCAUUACCAUCUGUGAAGGUGAUGCCAUUCCUUCUCCUGGUAUAUUCUUAAAUCCAGUGCAACUAGAAACGGAUCCUUAUUGUUAUGGUUGGCUGACUUCAAGAGACUUUUCACUGUCUGUCUGAAUAGCUCUCUCAGCCAUCCUGUUGCUCUGAGGAUAUUUUGGUGAUAAUGUGAUAAUCUCAGAUCUUAGUGAAUUCUUUAAAUAAUGUAUUUGACUAUUGGGGUCCAUUAUCAGCCAUCAGAACCUGUAGUAUUUCAUGCCUUGCAAACUGUGAUUUUUAGUAUAGGUGAUCUCCAUUCUACUGCUUGUGUUUGUGUUGUAUCAACCAGGCAAGGUACUAACAAACUUCAACAGGACUUUAUUUUUAAUGUGGAAACCUCUUUACCAAGCUGCUGCUGCACCCUCUGUAACUCUCACUCUGCCUCCAACUCCUCCCCCCUCCUUCCUGUUUCCUGUCCUUUCAGACUCCCAACAGCCAGUGCUCCCAGUUCUAAUAAUCAUAAGCAACAUCUAAACACCACAGUUUUAGUUUUGAAAGCUUCAUGCAUUUAGAGCAGUAAUCAAAGAACAGUAAACAGAUUUCUUUGUCAGAUUCAAAUUAGUCCAUUUUUUUAGUCUGUGUUUACAUUGUGGCCAAAGUUACCUACCUGUUGGGAAGGAUAUUUGAUACUAGUUUGUCUUCUGAUUACUCAUCUGCAUUUUGUGAUUCACCUCUACAGUAACAUUUUCAUUUACAUAAUCUUCAUGCCAAUAGAAGUAUAAUAAUUUUCCUUCCACAUACAUGGUCACAAGCUUCAGUUUCAGAUCUUCUUUCCUUGUCUUAAUCUAUUUUAUAACAGAUGGUCAAUAUAUUUCUUGACCAUCUCCCCUCUUACUCUACCUCUGGACUAGUUAUUUGACUAUGGACGAAUCUGUUUAAGAAAUGGUGCUGUCCAGUGAAGAGGUGGCUGUGUAAUAUGAAAUAAAUGUGACUUAAAUGCUUUCA